GAUCGGGCCGCGUCUGAUUAGCUCGUUGGUGAGGUAACGGCUCACCAAGGCGACGAUCAGUAUCUGGUCUGAGAGGAUGAUCAGCCUCACUGGGACUGAGACACGGCCCAGACUCCUACGGGAGGCAGCAGUGGGGAAUAUUGGACAAUGGGCGCAAGCCUGAUCCAGCCAUGCCGCGUGGGUGAUGAAAGCCCUAGGGUUGUAAAGCCCUUUCGGCGGGGAAGAUAAUGACGGUACCCACAAAACAAGCCCCGGCUAACUUCGUGCCAGCAGCCGCGGUAAUACGAAGGGGGCUAGCGUUGCUCGGAAUCACUGGGCGUAAAGCGCACGUAGGCGGGUCUUUAAGUCAAGGGUGAAAUCCUGGAGCUCAACUCCAGAACUGCCUUUGAAACCGAGGAUCUUGAGUCCGGGAGAGGUGAGUGGAACUGCGAGUGUAGAGGUGAAAUUCGUUAGAUAUUCACACGAUACCCAGUGGCGAAUGCGGCUCACUGGCCCGGUACUGACCCUGAAGUGCGAAAGCGUGGGGAGCAAACAGGAUUUAAUACCCUGGUAGUCCACACUGAUAACGAAUGGAUGCUUGCCCGUUUUGUGGGUUUUACUCGGUCAGGGGCGCCAGCUUAAUACAUUUACCCAUCCCCGC
rnacentral:rRNA from 1 species